rnacentral:rRNA from 1 species
AAGUCUGCUGUCAAAGCCCGAGGCUUAACCUCGGAUCGGCGGUGGAAACUGGAUCGCUAGAGUACGUCAGGGGUAGGGGGAAUUCCCGGUGUAGGGGUGAAAUCCGUUGAUAUCGACCGGAACACCGAAAGCGAAGGCAAUCAGCUGGGGUAAUCCUGACGUUGAGAGACGAAAGCGUGGGCAUAAAAAAGGAUUAGAUACCCUUGUAUUCCACGCCCUAAACGAUGGACACUAGCUAUUUGAAGGUCGACCCUUCAAGUGGCGAAGCUAACGCGUUAAGUGUCCCGCCUGGGAAGUACGGCCGCAAGGCUAAAACUCAAAGGAAUAGACGGGGCCUCACACAAGCGGUGGAUCAUGUGGCUUAAUUCGACGACAAGCGAAGAACCUUACCAGGGCUUGACAUUCCAGUGAACCCCGACGAAAGUUGGGCCUCUCACAAGGCACUGGAACAGGUGCUGCAUGGUUGUCGUCAGCAUGUGCCGUGAGGUGCUCCCUUAAAUGGGGUAACAUGCGCAACCCUCAUUCUGCGUUUUACUGUCGCGGAAAACUGCCCGGGACAACCGGGAGGAAGGUGAGGAUGACGCCAAAUCAGCAUGGCCCUGACGCCCUGGGCUGCACACAUGAUACAAUGGAGUUGACAAUGGGCAAAACCGUAAGGUGGAGGUAAUCCCAUCAAACACUCCCCAGUUCGGAUUGAGGUCUGCAAUCGACCUCAUGAAGCCGGAAUCGCUAGU